rnacentral:rRNA from 1 species
UACGUAGGGUGCAAGCGUUAAUCGGAAUUACUGGGCGUAAAGCGUGCGCAGGCGGUUCGGAAAGAAAGAUGUGAAAUCCCAGGGCUCAACCUUGGAACUGCAAUUUUUAACUACCGGACUAGAGUAUGUCAGAGGGAGGUGGAAUUCCACGUGUAGCAGUGAAAUGCGUAGAUAUGUGGAGGAACACCGAUGGCGAAGGCAGCCUCCUGGGAUAAUACUGACGCUCAUGCACGAAAGCGUGGGGAGCAAACGAGG